ACCCAGGGACACUCCAACUCUACACAGCUCAGCAGACAUCCACACACACACACACACACACACACUCAGGUCCGGCGGGGCCAGACGUCUGGGCGCGGGCAGCCUCUUGAUUCUUUUACAGUCUCAUCCUAUCCUCUCAGGCCUCCUCUCCCCCGACAAAAAGCCCAACUGUUUCUCCUCAGAAUUUGAAACAAUCGCGUGGAGUUUGAAAACUGCUCGGUCCCCCUUUUUACAGGCCAUAAAGGGCGCACUGCUUUGCGGUCUCCGCUAGAAAUUAGGGGCAGGGGUGGGAGGUGUACGUAGAAAGAAAAAAGCUUAGGGCUUCUUUUUUUUCCUCCCCUCUGUUGUGUUUUUUUUCUAUUUUUUAGCUUAUCUACACAAUUUCAUGAACCGUUUCCUGAUUCCGAUGCCCACUCCCUAUCCCUCCCCUUUUACUGCUAGUUAUGAAAGUUUCUCCUGCUGGCCACCUCUGCGGCUGCUCUCCCAGAAAACUGGUGGAGCCGGUGGCUGCGGCGCCUUUUCGCAGAGCAGCCGCUAGAUGGCACCCUUGCUCCAUGUGAAACUCCCUGGAGCGGCAGCUGCGGAUGUCUGCUCCCGGCACCGCGCCUUGGUCGGCCCUGAAUCCAGGAACUGAGUGCUACCAAAAGUCAUGAAUAAUUUGUACCUAAUAAAAAAAAUAGGGCUCGUUAUGGCCUUACCCCCAUUUUAUAGAUUUCAGUUAUAGUAGUGUUCCCCCAUCUCCUCAAAUGGUCAAUUUUCUGAAUUUUCCCCAAGAGGAGGGCUCAGUGAUUCUCACCCAGUUGCUGUGUUCGGUGGGGCAACAAAUGCGUGAAAACGGGGAAUAAUAGUAAUAAUAGGAAUAAUGGGUCCAAAUCCAAAAGGAGAAUUGAUUCGAAACAACGAGAUUUUCCGUGAAAGGAGGCGAAAGGAAUGUCCCUGGAUGCGGGUCAGCAGGUCAGGUGAGAGGGGCUAGCCGGCAAAAGAAGGUAGGAUGGAGAGGAAGCUGCCCAUCGGCUGGAGAGAAAAUCACGUAAGCCAGCCCGAGACCCCCCAGUUUGUGUGUGUGGGGGAAUGGAGCCAUAGCUUUUGUGGGGAUUCGGAGAUGCCCAAAGCCGGCAGGGCGGCUUCGCACGGGCGCAAGCUCUGGAGCCUUUGUAUGAGUCCAGGGCUGGGCUGGGCUCGCGCAGGGCGACCUAGGCACGGGGCAGGGGCUCCCCAGGGCAGCAGGGUGCGGGAAGGCUCGGAUGUGGUCUCUGGAUGCUUUGCGCGCUCCCAAAGAAUGCGCGUUUUCCCAUGGGCGCGAAGGCGGGCGCGGCGUCAGGACGCAGGAGCUCUGUUCUCCCUGGGUUCCUGGGCUUCCAGGUGAGAGGUGCGGCUUCAGUGCGCCUUGGCCCUGGCCGCAGGCAAACCUGGGGGCGCCGGUCCUUUCCUCAUUGAGCAGCUGGAGGUCUGGACUCCGGGCACUUUCGUUCUGAGACCCGCACCCUGGUUGUUCACAGCCCCUUGCAUUCCAAAUCUCCUGUGUCCUCCCGGCCCCGCCGGAUCCCUGCCUUCCAUCCGACAAACCUGCGCCAGCAAUAGAUACUCCCACCCCCUCAAAAUCACCCCAGCUGCAGCCUCUCCUCUCCCCCACCAGGACUUAGUGCAAGGAGGUAAGCGGAGUUUCUCCUCAACUUGAGUUUCUCUAAUAAAUCUGCGCUCCGCUGGGUGUUUAUAAAUUGUCUCCUCGCUCUUUCGUUUUUUUUUUUUUUUUUUCCUAUAACAGAAACAUUUUCCUUCCAUCAGGAAUUUCUGGCACGGUGUAGAGAUGAUUUAGAACAAGCCAUUGAAUUUGUACCUCGCCGGUGAGUUUUCAAAUAAUGACCAUAAAAUCCUCUGCACUUGAUAAAAAUGUUUGCUUCGGCAACAAUUUAACUCGGCCCUCCGUUGCCUCACGGUCCCCUCAGCCACGCGCUGAAAAUUCAAAGCCCUGGUUCUCUCCAUUCCUCCUCUUUUCCUUUAUCUCUCUCCCGCUUCUAGCCCCUCUCUCAUUCUCUAGGUUCACUUUUGAAGAACCAAAUGACCUCACUGGUAAGGUUCCCUUUGGAAAAGUGAUAGUUUCAUUUUUACAAAUGUUGGGGUGUAUGGGGUCCCCAAAAGGUGCCCGUCAAAAAAACAAACCACUGUUUCCUGAAUAAACAAUGGAUUGAAUAUA
rnacentral:lncRNA from 1 species